ncrna:Roseburia intestinalis L1-82 TwoGGAY RNA
UUUGGAAGAAAAUUAGAAAAUCUUAGCCUGCCUGUCUAUUCACAGUGAUGUUCUGCCACGGAUGGCAGAACAAGGCUUCACGAGCCAUGGAAGGCUCGUUGAACGCCGUUCACGUCACUCUGAGAAAAUCUGACUCAGGCAAGCUUAGAUUUUGUUAUUUUCGUACAAC